GAUGAACGCUGGCGGCGUGCCUAAUACAUGCAAAUCGAGCGAACGGACGAGAAGCUUGCUUCUCUGAUGUUAGCGGCGGAUGGGUGAGUAACACGUGGAUAACCUACCUAUAAGACUGGGAUAACUUCGGGAAACCGGAGCUAAUACCGGAUAAUAUUUUGAACCGCAUGGUUCAAAAGUGAAAGACGGUCUUGCUGUCACUUAUAGAUGGAUCCGCGCUGCAUUAGCUAGUUGGUAAGGUAACGGCUUACCAAGGCAACGAUGCAUAGCCGACCUGAGAGGGUGAUCGGCCACACUGGAACUGAGACACGGUCCAGACUCCUACGGGAGGCAGCAGUAGGGAAUCUUCCGCAAUGGGCGAAAGCCUGACGGAGCAACGCCGCGUGAGUGAUGAAGGUCUUCGGAUCGUAAAACUCUGUUAUUAGGGAAGAACAUAUGUGUAAGUAACUGUGCACAUCUUGACGGUACCUAAUCAGAAAGCCACGGCUAACUACGUG
rnacentral:rRNA from 1 species